rnacentral:misc_RNA from 1 species
GAUGAAGAACGUAGCGAAAUGCGAUACGUAAUGUGAAUUGCAGAAUUCAGUGAAUCAUCGAGUCUUUGAACGCACAUUGCGCCCUCUGGUAUUCCGGAGGGCAUGCCUGUCCGAGCGUCAUUGCUGCCCUCAAGCACGGCUUGUGUGUUGGGCCCCGCCCCCCGAUCCCGGGGGGCGGGCCCGAAAGGCAGCGGCGGCACCGCGUCCGGUCCUCGAGCGUAUGGGGCUUUGUCACCCGCUCUGUAGGCCCGGCCGGCGCUUGCCGAUCAACCAAACUUUUUUCCAGGUUGACCUCGGAUCAGGUAGGGAUACCCGCUGAACUUAAGCAUAUCAAUAAGCGGAGG